GACGAACGCUGGCGGCGUGCCUAAUACAUGCAAGUAGGACGCAGUUGCGAACGGGUGAGUAACGCGUAGGUAACUACCUAUUAGAGGGGGAUAACUAUUGGAAACGAUAGCUAAUACCGCAUACUAGUAGAUGGACCUGCGUUGUAUUAGCUAGUAGGUAGGGUAAUGGCCUACCUAGGCAACGGUACAUAGCCGACCUGCGCGGGUGGACGGCCAACCUGGGGCUGGGAAACGGCCCAGACUCCUGCCGGAGGCAGCAGUAGGGAAUCUUCGGGAAUUGGAGGAACCCUGGCCGAGCAACGCCGCGUGAGUGAAGGAGGUUUUCGGAUCGUAAAGCUCUGGUGUUAAGGAAGCGGGACUUAACCAGAAAGGGACGGGUAACUACGUGCCAGCAGCCGCGGUAAUUC
rnacentral:rRNA from 1 species